rnacentral:rRNA from 1 species
GACAGAGGCCUCAAGCGUUAGGCGGAAUCACUGGGCUUAAAGCGUGUGUAGGCGGAUCGUUAAGUGUCUUGUGAAAUCCCACGGCUCACCCGUGGAACUGCUGGGCAUACUGGCGAUCUUGGGCCAACUAGGGGCAACUGGAACAAGCGGUGGAGCGGUGAAAUGCGUAGAUAUCGCUUGGAACGCCAACGGUGAAGACAGGUUGCUGGGGUUGUGCCGACGCUGAGACACGAAAGCCAGGGGAGCAAACGGG